UACAGAGGUGGCAAGCGUUGUUCGGAAUUACUGGGCGUAAAGGGCGCGUAGGCGGGCAGGCAAGUCAGGGGUGAAAGCCCACGGCUCAACCGUGGAAGCGCCUUUGAUACUGCCGGUCUCGAGGGAGGUAGGGGCGUGCGGAACUUCCGGUGGAGCGGUGAAAUGCGUAGAUAUCGGAAGGAACACCGGUGGCGAAAGCGGCGCGCUGGACCUCUUCUGACGCUGAGGCGCGAAAGCCAGGGGAGCAAACGGG
rnacentral:rRNA from 1 species